rnacentral:rRNA from 1 species
UGGAUGAUGUGGAUUAAUUCGAUGCAACGCGAAGAACCUUACCUGGGCUUGACAUCCCGAUCGCACCUUAUGGAAACAUAGGGGUCAGUUCGGCUGGAUCGGUGACAGGUGCUGCAUGGCUGUCGUCAGCUCGUGUCGUGAGAUGUUGGGUUAAGUCCCGCAACGAGCGCAACCCUUGUCCUUAGUUGCCAGCAUUCAGUUGGGCACUCUAAGGAGACUGCCGGUGUCAAACCGGAGGAAGGUGGGAAUGACGUCAAGUCCUCAUGGCCCUUAUGUCCAGGGCUACACACGUGCUACAAUGGCCGGUACAAAGGGGCGCAAGACCGCGAGGUGGAGCAAAUCCCAAAAAACCGGUCUCAGUUCGGAUUGGAGUCUGCAACUCGACUCCAUGAAGUUGGAAUCGCUAGUAAUCGCGUAUCAGCAUGACGCGGUGAAUACGUUCCCGGGCCUU